CGGCGUGCCUAMACUGCAAGUCGAACGGGUACCUGGGGCAACUCUGGUUCAGUGGCGGACGGGUGCGUAACACGUGAGGAACAUGACUUUCGGUGGGGGAUAGCCGGCCCAACGGCCGGGUAAUACCGCGUACGACCAUUGGGGGACAUCCCCGAGUGGUGAAAGCAGCAAUGCGCCGAAAGAGUGCCUCGCGGCCUAUCAGCUAGUUGGUGGGGUAAUGGCUCACCAAGGCAACGACGGGUAGCUGGUCUGAGAGGAUGGCCAGCCACAUUGGGACUGAGACACGGCCCAGACUCCUACGGGAGGCAGCAGUGGGGAAUAUUGCGCAAUGGGCGAAAGCCUGACGCAGCGACGCCGCGUGUGGGAUGACGGCCUUCGGGUUGUAAACCACUGUCGGGAGGGACGAAUGCCCCGCAAGGGGAGUGACGGUACCUCCAAAGGAAGCACCGGCUAACUCCGUGCCAGCAGCCGCGGUAAUACGGAGGGUGCGAGCGUUGUCCGGAAUCACUGGGCGUAAAGGGCGCGUAGGCGGCCUGAUAAGUAGGAGGUGAAAUCCUGGGGCUUAACCUCAGGGCUGCCUUCUAAACUGUCAGGCUCGAGCACAGUAGAGGCAGGUGGAAUUCCCGGUGUAGCGGUGGAAUGCGUAGAGAUCGGGAAGAACAUCAGUGGCGAAGGCGGCCUGCUGGGCUGUUGCUGACGCUGAGGCGCGACAGCGUGGGGAGCAAACAGGAUUARAUACCCUGGUAGUCACGCCGUAACGAUGGCACUAGCGUCGGGGGACGA
rnacentral:rRNA from 1 species